GCGGAGGAAAAGAAAAUAACAAUGAUUUCCCUAGUAACGGCGAGUGAAGAGGAAAGAGCUCAAAGUUGGAACCUGUUUGGCUUAGCUAAACCGGAUUGUAAACUGUAGAAGUGUUUUCCAGACACGCCUGGUAAAAAAGUCCUUUGGAACAGGGCAUCAUAGAGGGUGAGAAUCCCGUCUUUGGCCAGAGCUGUUGUCUUUUGCGAUACACUUUCAAAGAGUCAGGUUGUUUGGGAAUGCAGCCUAAAUUGGGUGGUAAAUCUCACCUAAAGCUAAAUAUUUGCGAGAGACCGAUAGCGAACAAGUACCGUGAGGGAAAGAUGAAAAGAACUUUGAAAAGAGAGUUAAACAGUAUGUGAAAUUGUUAAAAGGGAACCGUUUGGAGCCAGACUGGCUUGAUUGUAAUCAUUCUACGCUUCGGUGUGGAUGCACUUGCAGUCUUUGCCUGCCAACGACAAUUUUUUCUGGGGGAAAAAACUAUGGGAAAUGUAGCCAGCUCUCGGGUUGGUGUUAUAGUCCCUUAGAAAAUACCCUGGAUUGGAUUGAGGAACGCAGUGAAUGCUCUUUAGGGCAAGAUUGCUGGGUGCUUUCGCUGAUACAUGCUAAAAUUUCUGCCUCGGGUGGUGUUAGUGUGUAAAGGAGGAACUCGCUUAGUAUAUUUUUUAUUCGCUUAGGUUGUUGGCUUAAUGACUCUAAUGAC
rnacentral:rRNA from 1 species